UGACAGCUCACUUGAAAAUGCCUCUCGGCCAACAUUCCUAAAAUAACGUGGAUUCACAACAGCCCCACCGAAGUCCCAUGUGAAUAUCCAGUACCCCAAGGACACUUGCAAUGUCACACUGGCCUCACGCUUUCACUUUCUGAUGAACGUGGCCUUGACACAUCUCCAACUGACACCUGUUGAAACAAAUGUACCUUUCCAUCCUACCGGACGUCCACGUAUAACAAAAGACAUGAUUACACCGUAGGUAAAUACAAACAUAAGUCUGGUGGGGGAAGGGUGAACUAACGACUGUUUGUGUGUAGUAGAGUCUUUCUCUUAGAUUGUUAAUGAUAACUUGGAAUAAACUCAGUCAGGG
ensembl:lncRNA